ACAGGCAAAGCAUCCAGUUUCUAAUAUACUGUGGCUCAGAGGGCAGAGCUGGGGUUGGCCCCGAGGUCAGAAACUUCUUUUAGCACCUUCUAAGAAGGCGGACUCAAAUAGAAAACUAAGUAGAAGGUAGAGGGUGCCGACAUGUAAAGGCAUGGAGAUAAAUAGCACCCAACUGUGCACGGGGCUCUAGUGGGCAAAGAUCCCUGAGAGGUCCCAAGCCAGGGGGCCUGAGACAGCAUCCUCACCUUGGUGAGGGCAGCAGGGAGCUUCCUGGUGAGGAGGAUAUCCCGUCUUUCAGUAGGCAGGCAUUUCACUCACAACCACUCCGGCUGAAAUGUUAAGGAGAUUCUCUAGCCACUAACUGAUUUUAGCAAGUCACUCAGACACUGGUGACAUGAGCUCACCGUUUCUUUGAAGCCACAGGGUGAAGUCUCUGUGGCUGAGUAACUGAAAGUUGGGGCUGGGGAGAGAUUUGCUUUGGCUGGUUGGGAGGUAGGUCCCUGACAUAAUGAGGCACCCAGCUUCCUCCAAAUCCUAAUUAUUGCUCUGCUAAAAAUAUUCAGUAAUGAGCAUGAUCAAAGAACCUUUCUCAUCAUGCUUUGCAGAACUGCGGCGUUUGGUUAUGGAACUAUUUUAAGAAGCAGCAAAGCACAUGUUAAUGAAGGAAACUUUCAACAGUAGUAGGCAAUAUUAGAAUGACGAUGAGUAAUGUGGACCUUACAGUCUACUUCAUUUAAGCUCCAUCUUUGCUGGAGAAUUUUGACAUGUAGUUCUGACAAGCAGAGCAGAGGGCUGUAAAGUUUAAUUCAUGCCCUCGGUAUCUCCAGCUUCAUAUAAAGUGAUUUUUGACUUUCAGAAUGAACCUCGAUUAGAGGAUAGAAGCCAAAUGUGGCUGCUGACGCCAUUUCUGAGCACCUUUCUUCCACGACGAACGCUCUGGCCUUCUCUACCUGGGCCCCAAACAGAUUUCUACCGUGGCUCUCCCUUGGUGAGGAAUCAGCAGAGUAGAUCAAUGGACCACAAGAAAGGGUCCUUGUGCCCAUGAAAAGGCACAUGUAAGUCUUAUGCCUGCGCUCCGAGAGCAAGUAAAAUGCCACCUGACUAUUCAAUUUGGAGGUGGGAAUUGUGGUGGAUUGAAGAUGGGCACGAUUCCUGUCCCUUGGAAUGUGAGCUGGCCUUCGUGACGUGCUUAUAACAAAUAAAAUGUGGCAUAAGUGAUGCUGCGUGGCUUCCAAGGCUAGAACCAGUGUCAACCGCAACUGAGCUCCCUGUCAACAGCCAGCACCCACUGCCCGCCACUUAAGUGCGCCAUCAGGGACCUCCAGCCCAACUGGGCCAGUGUCUGACUACAACCAUUUCAGAGACCCUGAGCCAGGACCACCCAGUCAAGCCCUUACUGGAAUCCUGUUCCACAAAAUCAUGAGCAAAAUUAAGUGGCUCUUUUUCUUGGCCAUGCCGUGCAGCAGGCAGGAUCUUAGUUCCCUGACCAGGGAUUGAACCCGUGCCCCCUGCAUUGGGAGCAUGGAGUCUUAACCACUGGACCGCCAGGGAAGUCCCUAAAGCGGCUCUUUUAAGUCACUAACUGCAGCAAUAAUUCGUUAUGCAACAAUCGGAUGAUCAAUCGCUUAGAGUUAGCAAAAUAUUGGACCUGUUUCUACACCCAACAACUAGAACUUGAGGUUUUCCUGAUUCCUCAAAUCAGGAAAGUAACUUUCUCUUAGCUCACCAGAGGCUAUUCACCCAGAAAUAAAACCACCGGUAAAUGCUUGUUGCUGCUCUACGAGGCAGUCGAAGAACUGUCACCCCAGGACAUGCUGACUCAAUUAAACCUGGGAGUAACCCCUGGGGGAAUUCUGGGUGAACCAGAAUCCCCGGUCUGGAUUCAUGCUACUCUAAGUGAGCUUUAUGAACCUACAGUAGCUAACGCCCUGGGAGCUCAUCAGAAAUGGGAAUCUUAGGUCCCACCAGACCUACUGAACCCAAAUCUGCACCUGAACAAGAUCUUGCAGGGAUCUGCAGACACAUUGACACUUGACAAGCACUUGUGUGUACCAGGCCCUUCAUGACAACUUUCGGAAAGAAGCAGCUUGCUCACACCUCAGAUCUUACAAAGACUUAAAAAGCCCUCUUCCCACUGAUGCUGAGACCUCCAUCACCUCAGGGGAGAGCAGAUGCAGCUGCGGAUACAGGAGACUGUGUUCAGCUUUUGACUUCUCAAACAAGCUCUUCUGAAGGCUCAUUUCCAAAAGAAUAGUUAUGAAAGCAGGCUUGUGGAUGCACUCAGUGGUUCGUGUGUUAACCAACGAGAGUCAAAACCAUCCAAAGAUGGAAUGGGCUGCCUUGGGAGAGAGGAAGCUCCCCCUCAUGGGAGCCGUGCAAGCAUCAGUUCUACCUGGAUCUGGCAGUGAUGCCAAAGAGGAGGUAGACGACUGGAAACUCUGGCGUGAGUGUCCACGGAGCAUCUCUGAUGACUUCAUCCACAUAGCGACAGUGUCUCAGCGCUUCGUAUCUCUCUGCUUCAUUCAUCACGGUGAAACCUUUGAAUUUGUGGGUGAGGU